GCCCUAAUGGUCUAGCGGUAUGAUUCCUGCUUCGGGUGCAGGAGGUCCCGGGUUCGAUCCCCGGUUCCCGGGUUCGAUCCCCGGUUGGGGCC